GGCCAGUGUGGUGCAAUGGUUUGGGAGAUGGACUAGGACUCUGGAGACCAGGGUUCAAAUCCCGUCUCGGCCA